rnacentral:rRNA from 1 species
CGUAGGUGGCAAGCGUUGUCCGGAUUUAUUGGUUUAAAGGGUGCGUAGGUGGCCUGUAAGUCAGUGGUGAAAUAUCUCAGCUUAACUGAGAGGGUGCCAUUGAUACUGCAGGGCUUGAGUACAGAUGAGGUAGGCGGAAUUGACGGUGUAGCGGUGAAAUGCAUAGAUAUCGUCAAGAACACCGAUAGCGAAGGCAGCUUACCAAGCUGUAACUGACACUGAGGCACGAAAGUGUGGGGAUCAAACAGGAUUAGAUACCCUGGUAGUCCACACUGUAAACGUUGAUGACUCGAUGUUGGCGAUACACAGCCAGCGUCCAAGAGCAAUCGUUAAGUCAUCCACCUGGGGAGUACGCCGGCAACGGUG